AUCUGGCCUGGGAUCAGAGACUUUUAUGAUUCAAUUGAGGUCUGAAGCAAGCUGAUCUUACAGUGUAUUCACCAGUUCUGUUCUUGCAGUUAGAAGUACUGUUGGCUGUUAACCAAUCUUUGUGGCUGGAAAUGCUGGAACAGGAAAAUCCUAUCCGGUGGGUCUACACAUGGCCAAAGAGGAGAACAAUCCCAGCUGUCUUUCUGAGAACAGUUUUGUGCAUGGCAGAAUCCUUCUGAAGACCAAGGAAAAUUUUGG
rnacentral:lncRNA from 1 species